rnacentral:sRNA from 1 species
GGAGGAGCGUCGACGAGUAGGAAGGGGUCGCCGCGCGUCCAUUGGAGCGUCGACGCGACCUGGGCGCUGAUUCGGCUUUGGGAGGAUCGGCUGGAGGACCUCCGUCGCGCCAAGAGAAACGGUGCCGUUUACGCCGAGAUCGCGGAAGCGUUGGGGGCCCUGGGCUUUCGAACGACGACGGACCAAGUCCACAACAAGAUCGAGAAUCUGUGCAGCCCUUAUCGGAAACAUGCACCGGAAGGCACCACCACGGGAUCUGGGAAGCAGACCUGGGCCUACUACUUCGCCAUCCAUAGGUUCAUGGGGUCGCUGCCGCUCAACAGCAGCAGCCUGGUGUAGAGAGCUGCUUGGACCGUGCAACGCCUGCAGUAGUGCAGUUGCUUGCAGGCUUGCAGGAUUGAGGUGCAGAGGAUGGCGAGAUGUUUGAGGAGCCACCUAUGGACGUGGGAGACGACUCACAUGAUGUCGCAGCCGCUGGAGUCGGCUUCGAGGCACCAGAUUUGAGCGGGCACAGAGGAGAAAGCUUGGCUGCAAACUCAAGGAGUUCGAGCACCACGAGCACCAGCUGCGCUGCAAGCACCUCUGCAUGCAACAGCGUGUCCGUGCCAGCGAGGGCGCCUCCGAAAAAAAGGGCUCAGCACCCAAAUACUGCCCUCAUUAGGGCAGCAAUUGAGGAGCAGAAGCUCCUCCGUUUGAGCUUUGAAGCCGCUCGAGCAAAGGAAUUUGAGCUCCGGGAGCGGGCGCUCGUUCAGAAAGAAUUUGUGUUGCAAGCACAAGAACGUGCUUUAAAGCAACAAGAACGUGCUGCAAAGGCGCAGGAAGACUUGACUGCGGCGAUGAUAGCUUUUCUAAAUAAAGCACCAAAGUAA